rnacentral:rRNA from 1 species
UCGGGAAUCUUGGACAAUGGGCGCAAGCCUGAUCCAGCCAUGCCGCGUGAGUGAAGAAGGCCUUAGGGUUGUAAAACUCUUUCGCCGGAGAAGAUAAUGACGGUAUCCGGAGAAGAAGCCCCGGCUAACUUCGUGCCAGCAGCCGCGGUAAUACGAAGGGGGCUAGCGUUGUUCGGAAUUACUGGGCGUAAAGCGCACGUAGGCGGGUUUGUAAGUAGAGGGUGAAAUCCCAGGGCUCAACCCUGGAACUGCCUUCUAGACUGCAAGCCUGGAGGUCAGGAGAGGCGAGUGGAAUACCGAGUGUAGAGGUGAAAUUCGUAGAUAUUCGGUGGAACACCAGUGGCGAAGGCGACUCGCUGGACUGAUACUGACGCUGAGGUGCGAAAGCGUGGGGAGCAAACAGGAUUAGAUACCCCCGUAGUCCCUGAGCGGGCUGGCAAGGCGCAU